UUAUGGCUCAGGACGAACGCUGGCGGCGUGCUUAACACAUGCAAGUCGAGCGAUGAAGCUCUUCGGAAGUGGAUUAGCGGCGGACGGGUGAGUAACACGUGGGUAACCUGCCUCAUAGAGGGGAAUAGCCUUCCGAAAGGAAGAUUAAUACCGCAUAAGAUUGUAAUAUCGCAUGAUAUAGCAAUUAAAGGAGUAAUCCGCUAUGAGAUGGACCCGCGUCGCAUUAGCUAGUUGGUGAGGUAACGGCUUCACCAAGGCGACGAUGCGUAGCCGACCUGAGAGGGUGAUCGGCCACAUUGGGACUGAGACACGGCCCAGACUCCUACGGGAGGCAGCAGUGGGGAAUAUUGCACAAUGGGGGAAACCCUGAUGCAGCAAACCGCCGCGUGAGUGAUGACGGUCUUCGGAUUGUAAAGCUCUGUCUUCAGGGACGAUAAUGACGGUACCUGAGGAGGAAGCCACGGCUAACUACGUGCCAGCAGCAGC
rnacentral:rRNA from 1 species